UUUGCGUAGGUGAACCUGCGGAAGGAUCAUUAUUGUAUAACCGAGGUGCGAGGGCUGUCGCUGACCCGAAAGGUCCUGCACGCCCGAGUGCCCUCACACACAUCCAUCUCACCCCUAUGUGCACCACCGCGUGGGUCCCCCUUUGGCUUGUUCGGAGGGGGGCUUACGUUUUCACACAAACUUUGUAUGCAGUGUAGAAUGUAUUUUUUGUUUUUGCGAUCACGCAAUCAAUACAACUUUCAACAACGGAUCUCUUGGCUCUC
rnacentral:misc_RNA from 1 species